rnacentral:rRNA from 1 species
AGCGAACGCUGGCGGCAGGCCUAACACAUGCAAGUCGAACGAAGUCUUCGGACUUAGUGGCGGACGGGUGAGUAACACGUGGGAACGUGCCUUUAGGUUCGGAAUAACUCAGGGAAACUUGUGCUAAUACCGAAUGUGCCCUUCGGGGGAAAGAUUUAUCGCCUUUAGAGCGGCCCGCGUCUGAUUAGCUAGUUGGUGAGGUAAAGGCUCACCAAGGCGACGAUCAGUAGCUGGUCUGAGAGGAUUAACAGCCACAUUGGGACUGAGACACGGCCCAAACACCUGCGGGAGGAAGCAGUGGGGAAUCUUGCGCGAUGGGCGGAAGCCUGACGAAGCCAUGCCGCGUGAAUGAUGAAGGUCGUAGGAUUGUAAAAUCCUUUCACCGGUGAAGAUAAUGACUGUAGCCGGAGAAGAAGCCCCGGCUAACUUCGUGCCAGCAGCCGCGGUAA